rnacentral:rRNA from 1 species
UACGGAGGGGCUAGCGUUGUUCGGAAUUACUGGGCGUAAAGCGCGCGUAGGCGGAUCUGCAAGUCGGGGGUGAAAUCCCGAGGCUCAACCUCGGAACUGCCUUCGAUACUGCGGGUCUCGAGUCCGGGAGAGGUGAGUGGAAUUCCGUAGUGGUAGAGGUGAAAUUCGUAGAUAUUAGGAAGAACACCAGUGGCGAAGGCGGCUCUCGUGGGCCUUACCUGACGCUGAGGAGCGAAAGCGAUGGGUAGCGG